UACGUAGGGGGCAAGCGUUGUCCGGAUUUAUUGGGCGUAAAGAGCUCGUAGGCGGCUCGGUAAGUCGGAUGUGAAACCUCCAGGCUCAACCUGGAGACGCCAUCUGAUACUGCCGUGGCUUGAGUCCGGUAGAGGAGCAGGGAAUUCCUGGUGUAGCGGUGAAAUGCGCAGAUAUCAGGAGGAACACCAGCGGCGAAGGCGCUGCUCUGGGCCGGUACUGACGCUGAGGAGCGAAAGCGUGGGGAGCAAACGGG
rnacentral:rRNA from 1 species